AGAGAUUGAACAUAAGAGUUUGAUCCUGGCUCAGAUUGAACGCUGGCGGCAUGCUUUACACAUGCAAGUCGGACGGCAGCGGGGGAGUGCUUGCACUUCUGCCGGCGAGUGGCGAACGGGUGAGUAAUGCAUCGGAACGUACCGAGUAGUGGGGGAUAACUGUCCGAAAGGAUGGCUAAUACCGCAUACGCUUUGAGAAGGAAAGCGGGGGAUCGCAAGACCUCGCGCUAUUCGAGCGGCCGAUGUCUGAUUAGCUGGUUGGUGGGGUAAAGGCCUACCAAGGCGACGAUCAGUAGCGGGUCUGAGAGGAUGAUCCGCCACACUGGGACUGAGACACGGCCCAGACUCCUACGGGAGGCAGCAGUGGGGAAUUUUGGACAAUGGGCGCAAGCCUGAUCCAGCCAUGCCGCGUGUCUGAAGAAGGCCUUCGGGUUGUAAAGGACUUUUGUCAGGGAAGAAAGGGUUUGGGCUAAUACCCCGGGCAUAUGACGGUACCUGAAGAAUAAGCACCGGCUAACUACGUGCCAGCAGCCGCGGUAAUACGUAGGGUGCGAGCGUUAAUCGGAAUUACUGGGCGUAAAGCGGGCGCAGACGGUUCGUUAAGCAAGAUGUGAAAUCCCCGGGCUCAACCUGGGAACUGCGUUUUGAACUGGCGGACUAGAGUGUGUCAGAGGGGGGUAGAAUUCCACGUGUAGCAGUGAAAUGCGUAGAGAUGUGGAGGAAUACCGAUGGCGAAGGCAGCCCCCUGGGAUGACACUGACGUUCAUGCCCGAAAGCGUGGGUAGCAAACAGGAUUAGAUACCCUGGUAGUCCACGCCCUAAACGAUGUCAAUUAGCUGUUGGGGCACUUGAUGCCUUAGUAGCGUAGCUAACGCGUGAAAUUGACCGCCUGGGGAGUACGGUCGCAAGAUUAAAACUCAAAGGAAUUGACGGGGACCCGCACAAGCGGUGGAUGAUGUGGAUUAAUUCGAUGCAACGCGAAGAACCUUACCUGGUCUUGACAUGUACGGAAUCCUUCGGAGACGGAGGAGUGCCUUCGGGAGCCGUAACACAGGUGCUGCAUGGCUGUCGUCAGCUCGUGUCGUGAGAUGUUGGGUUAAGUCCCGCAACGAGCGCAACCCUUGUCAUUAGUUGCCAUCAUUAAGUUGGGCACUCUAAUGAGACUGCCGGUGACAAGCCGGAGGAAGGUGGGGAUGACGUCAAGUCCUCAUGGCCCUUAUGACCAGGGCUUCACACGUCAUACAAUGGUCGGUACAGAGGGUAGCCAAGCCGCGAGGUGGAGCCAAUCUCACAAAACCGAUCGUAGUCCGGAUUGCACUCUGCAACUCGAGUGCAUGAAGUCGGAAUCGCUAGUAAUCGCAGGUCAGCAUACUGCGGUGAAUACGUUCCCGGGUCUUGUACACACCGCCCGUCACACCAUGGGAGUGGGGGAUACCAGAAGUAGAUAGACUAACCGCAAGGAGGUCGUUUACCACGGUAUGCUUCAUGACUGGGGUGAAGUCGUAACAAGGUAGCCGUAGGGGAACCUGCGGCUGGAUCACCUCCUUUCUA
rnacentral:rRNA from 1 species